rnacentral:rRNA from 1 species
AUGAAAACCAUAAGUUGGAACUGCCGCGGUAUGGCCAGUACCACGGCAGUGAGAGCGCUUCUGGAUAUCCAGAAGCAAUGGGGGCCGGAUGUGUUUUUUCUGUCCGAAACACAUUUGAACACAGCUAGGGCGAAAAAGUUGAGGAAAAAUCUUAAUAUGGAUCAUGUUGAAGUGGUGGAAAGCGUUAGGGCCAGCGGUGGUCUAUUACUAUUUUGGCGUAAAUCUGUUGUGCUAGAGGUGAUGGAAAAAACAAAAUAUUCAUUGAUGUUAAGGUGGGUGAUUCACCGGAGGAAAGUUGGAGGCUCACGGGGUUCUACGGUGAACCCAAGUGGGAAGACAGAUCAUUAA